rnacentral:rRNA from 1 species
AGGUUAUAAGCGAAUGGCGGAUGCCUUGGGAUAUUAAAGUGAUGAAGGACGUGGCGUGCCUGCGAUAAGCGUCGGGGAGCUGGCUAGCAAGCUUUGAUCCGGCGAUGUCCGAAUGAGGAAACUCUAUUGCGGUAAUACGCAAUAAUCUUGGCAGUAAUGCCAAGAAGCUAACCCGCUGAAGUGAAACAUCUCAGUAAGCGGAGGAAAAGAAAACAACGCGCCAUCCUACAGGAUGGCGAACAAUUGACAAUUGACAGGUGACAAUUGACCAACGAUGAAAAAUUUUUGUGAAACAAAAAUUUUUCAUUAAGUCAAAUGUUAAAUGUUAAAGGUUACAUGUUCGCCACCCCGUAGGGUGGCGCACAUUCCCUUAGUAGUGGCGAGCGAAGAGGGAAGAGUCUAAACAGAAUCUUUAAAAAGAUUCUGGGUUGUAAGGGUUUAACGUCGGGGGCAUUAUUUAUUUUUCGUAUAGUCGAAAAAUAAAUAGUGACUGCCGAGGGAGAGCAUCUAGGUGAUUUAUUAAAAGAAGCACCCUGGAAAGGGGCGCCAUAGAGGGUAAUAGCCCCGUAUUCUAAAAUAAUUUCACGCUCCUUGUUAGAUUUCUUGAGUACUGUCGGGCAUGAUAACCUGGCAGGAAGCAGGCCGAACUAUCGGCCAAGACUAAAUAUUUAAUAUCACCAAUAGUGAACCAGUACCGUGAGGGAAAGGUGAAAAGUAGGGGGUUGACCCCGGUGAAAUAGAACCUGAAACCAUUUG